UACGUAGGGGGCAAGCGUUGUUCGGAAUUACUGGGCGUAAAGGGCUCGUAGGCGGCCAACUAAGUUCACACGUGAAAUCCCCAGGCUUACGCGUGGAACUGCGUGUGAUACUGGAUGGCUUGAAUUCGGGAGAGGGAUGCAGAAUUCCAGGUGUAGCGGUGAAAUGCGCAGAUAUCAGGAGGAACACCGGUGGCGAAGGCGGGUCUCUGGGCAACAACUGACGCUGAGGAGCGAAAGCGUGGGGAGCGAACAGG
rnacentral:rRNA from 1 species